rnacentral:rRNA from 1 species
UACGUAGGGUGCAAGCGUUAAUCGGAAUUACUGGGCGUAAAGCGUGCGCAGGCGGUGAUGGAAGACAGAUGUGAAAUCCCCGGGCUCAACCUGGGAACUGCAUUUGUGACUGCAUCGCUGGAGUGCGGCAGAGGGGGAUGGAAUUCCGCGUGUAGCAGUGAAAUGCGUAGAUAUGCGGAGGAACACCGAUGGCGAAGGCAAUCCCCUGGGCCUGCACUGACGCUCGUGCACGAAAGCGUGGGGAGCAAACAGG